rnacentral:pre_miRNA from 1 species
GGGGCGAUGCCAGAUCCUGGGCUGUGUCCCGGCGCCCUGUGCUCCGGGGCCUGCGCUGUUGGACUCGCGCUCUGGCCCCGCAACUCCCU